rnacentral:lncRNA from 1 species
AAUAUGUUGCAUUGCAUAAUAUGUUGUUGAUGUGGAUGAAUGUUGAAUGAUCCAUUAGCCCUCACACAUUAUGACAUGAUGUUAUGCUAUGGAAGUCCAGGCGUGCCUGCACUACGCCCCUGGCACUAUGUAAGGGAAAGACCGGGUGAGCCUGCACUACGCCCCCGGCACUAUUGGAUAUGUAUAUUAUGCUAUCGAAGUCCAGGCAUGCCUGCACUAUGCCCCUGGCAUGGUUUGACUGUAUGGAGGGUUAAAUGGUGACAAGUUCAUCCUUGACGUGAAUUGUUUGUGAUGUG